CAUUAAGAAGCUUUUACAGCAUUAGCCUUUUAAGCUAAAGAGGGGGACCAGUAAUCCCCCUUAAUGA
rnacentral:tRNA from 1 species